rnacentral:lncRNA from 1 species
GGGGGCAACAGGGUAUAAACAUAUAUCAUGACAAAAACAUACUAAGUAUUAUUAAUUGGCUAGCAAGGAAAGAUAAACGUACGACCGAAACUGAAUUAACCAGUGCGCACGACUAUAUAAAAAACAAACUUCCUUUGACAAUAAGUUUCUAAUUAAAACAUGGCUGCGCCUAGGCAGCGUUAUUGUGAGAGUGUAAGUGGACGUGCUGCUACUCCCCUCAUUCCCAACAUGUAUCAAGUACCUGCAUUGAGUAAUGCAAGAGUGAGAUGACACAUCUCAGCAAGUAAAAUAAUAUCAAACUAUUCAACCACAUAAGAACAUUGUUUUACCACCACCUGAUUCCACAACCUUCUUAUUACCAAGGUGCAUCACGUAUACAACGUACAACACACCUAGUUACCACACCUCGCAGGUAGAAAACCACAAUAGUAACAUAGUAAUGUCACACUUCAUAUAUUCCUCAUGAAUGCAAAUGUCUGCAAAUGCAAGGAUGACUUCUGCCUUCAUACCUCUAAGGAUAUGAAGCUGCAUCGUACCCCUCCUCGGGCAACGUACGAUGCUAAAAAUGUACCGGUACGGUCGGACCAUAAGAUCACGACAUAACUUCAAAAUGCAAGAUGGAUGAUGUGAUGUGCAUGUCAUGCCUACAACACUUCAUAUAACGUGAUUCAAAAAGAUACUUCAACUUCAUCUAAGAUGGGAAUCAACCACAUAUAUCAUAACCAAAUUAUGAUCAUCCACAAUAUUAGACAAUUGAGAAUUAAUACUUCCAAACAAAUAAACUUCAUCAUAGAAUUCAAUGAUUAACAUAAUUAAAAACUUAAGCAUACUCAAUGACAGGGAAUAGGAUGCAAACCAAACGGUAGCAACCACCACUAUAUUUACUUGCCUUUACCGGAAGUUCGGGCAAAUCCAUAAGUACGAUCCGGAAGUCCACCACCUGUUUUUGACAUACAACUUAGUGCACCUAUUUCACAUAAUCAGGCUCAUAAACGACGCCGCACCUACGCACAAACUUAAACCCCGCCGCGGGUUACAUCUCUCCCCACACCCACCAAACUGCAGCGGCGCUGCUUAAUAAUUUCAUAACCUUAAAAUUAUGACAACAGUGGUAACAAACAAAAACUCCAGAGGCAUCUACAUAAAAUUCCCCACAAGUUUUGUAUACAAUUUAUAAUUAAAUUCUAACAUCUAAUUAGCCUAAAACAGUCCACAAGAUGAACCCUGUAAUCUGUUUUUUUGUCUUUUGGACAGCGACAUACCCGGAUUCAAACAGCGAUAUCUUUUAAAAUAUAAUUCCAAAUCAAGCGCAUAAGUACUCAUUAGAAAGAUAAGACAAAGCCCUACAUGAUUAUCAUACUGGUUAACAGUAAUUACCCACGAAAAAUUCACAGAAACUGCUAAUACUACUGUUGUUCAUCCACCUGAAAAUCUGUUUUUUGGACAGCAACAUAACCGGAUUCAAACAACGAUAUCUCCUAAAUUAUAACUCCGAGUCGAGCGCAUAAGUACUCGUUGGAAAGGUAUGACAAAGCUCUACAUGAUUCUCAUAUUGAUUAUCACUAAUUUCCCACGAAAAAUCCCCAGAAACUGCUAAUACUACUGCUGUUCAUCCACCUGAAAAUCUGUUUUUUUGGACAGCAACAUAACCGGAUUCAAACAACGAUAUCUCCUAAAUUAUAACUCCAAAUCGAGCGCAUAAGUACUCGUUGGAAAGGUAUGACAAAGCUCUACAUGAUUCUCCCACUGAUCCCCACUAAUUGCCCACGAAAAAUUCCCAGAAACUGCUAAUACUACUGCUGUUCAUCCACCUGAAAAUCUGUUUUUUUUGGACAGCAACAUAACCGGAUUCAAACAACGAUAUCUCCUAAAUUAUAACUCCAAAUCGAGCGCAUAAGUACUCGUUGGAAAGGUAUGACAAAGCUCUACAUGAUUCUCCCACUGAUCCCCACUAAUUGCCCACGAAAAAUUCCCAGAAACCCCUAGAACUACUGCUGUUCAUCCUCCCACAAAAAAUCUGGACAGCACCUAUACCGAUUCGCAUAGGUAAACAUGUAAACAAUUGGAUUGCAGCACAAAUACUAAAAAGAAUGAUCUUAAAAUCACCUUGGGUUCCUCCUUUCCUCCUUCCAUUCUUCCUUCUUCCUCCCUCCAAACUCCAAUGGAAGACUCACACCCACACGACGGGGUACCAAGCGGGGAGGAUGCACCAUGGAGAGGAGGGGGCGGCUAGGGUUGAGGGGGGGGGGGUGCUGCAAUCACUUGGGGGGGGGGAGAAGGAGAGGGAGAGAGAGAGGGGGGGUGUGGCGGCCACAAAGGGGAAUAGGCAAGGGGGGCGGCUAGGGUUAAGGGGGAGAACUAAUGGGCUCCCCACCGCCGGAUCGAGAUCCACGGCCCAAACUCGCUCUCACGACCGUUUCCGAUCCCAGGGCACCAGUCCAACAAGAAUUAUACUGUUUUACUAGUGAAUGCUUCCUAAAAGUUCCAAACCCCUGUUGCACAGGACCCGAAAGAGAAAACAAGGGAAAAAAAGAAUAAUCUUCAAUUUCUCUUCCUUUUGGAAAUUGGGUAUCACACUCUACCCUCCUUAAAAAGAAUUCGACCUCGAAUUCCGACGCUUCUAUCGGAAUGACGAAAGAAAGAUUAAUGAAUCAACAAAACUCACACAUAACGAAAAGUUCGGGUACUUUUGCCGCAUCAGCUCCUCAAGUUCCUAGGAUUCUAAGAUACGCAGCAGACGACACUCAAGAGUCUGGUCUUGCUACACGGGAAUCGGCUCUAGCUCGAUUAGAUGGUCUGGAUUCCACAAAUACUUCCUCAACAUAAAUACAUGGAAUACAUGGUGUACUCUGAUCAUAGAUUCCGACAAUUGCAAGUGAUAAGCCCAGCUGCCACCUCGGCUAAGAUAGUAGACGGUCCUAUAUACCUCGGACAAAGCUUUCUAGACACCAAAUCAAUAUUGACAUAUGCAAGUACUUCAAUGAAUGUAUAUAUUAAUGCAAUUCAUAUAGUGUUCCUAUAGCCUAAACAAAACUUAGCUAAACAAGAGCAACUUCAAGAGAGCAACUUAAUGCUUGCAUAUUUCUAGGCAACAACACAGCGGUUAAUUAUUUUGCUCCUAACUCACAAAAUAUGCAUCGAAAAUUAGUAAACUAGGACUUUAUGGAAAGCUUAUAAAGUCCACUAUACCCUUGGUAUUAUCAUCACAACAAGAUUUGACACUUAUAAAGGUCAAACAAUGCUAAACGUAAAUUCUGUCCAGACUUGGACAUAAUUCAACUACUCAAUUCAAAAAUCCAUAAUUGGAGUCUCAAUCAUCCAAUCCAGGUGCUCCCAGACUUUUUAGAAAGCUAGUAGAAUUGUCUAUAAUUCAUUUAUAAACAUAUCAAGUUAAUUCAAUGCAUAUCAAGGUCAAAAGACACGAGAAAGGCUCUGCUGUCCAAAUUUGGACAGAUUCAGAGAUCACACUUAAAACAGCUGUAACUUAACUUAUAGAUCUCCAAAAAAAGUAAUCCAAAAUUUGUUGAAAAGAUUAAGAAAAGUACUACAACUUCUUUAUAAUUUAUAAUAAGUUAUUCGAAGUUUAAAUUGGGCAAACAAGGUCAGCUUCAAAAUAUGUACAGAAUCUGCACAGAUUUCAAGACUGGACUUGAGAAAAUCAUAACUCCCAAACUUCUAGACCUAUGGUCAUGAAAUUUUUACACAAGUAAGAUAAAGAAGUUGGCUACAACUUUUACAUAUAACAUCUCUACAGAAAAGAUGGUUUACUUCAUUGAACUAGCUGCAUAACUAAAACUGGUCAUGCAAUCCCAACAACAAGCAAUAGAUUUUAUCAGGUUCAUUACUCUUCUAAGAUUAAGUGGUCAUUGAAAGACUAAUAACUUUAGGUUCUUCAUUACGAGACACCUAGAACAAAUAUAAGUAUAGAAGCAAUAUGAUAACUUUUUAAAUCAUUUAAGCCUAAUCUCACAUCAUGCAAACAAGAAUCAAUUUAAGCAUGUUAUGUCUGCCCACAUAUUCAUCCAAGCACAUUCUAUACAUUAUAUCAUAACUCCCUGCAGCUAACAAAAUUUUGCAAAUAUAAACUCAUUGAAAAGAUUAUAACAUUCCCUAGAACUCUUAUUAUAAUGAGUGUCUUGGAAUUGGUUUCCAAACCGAUAAAACAAUGCAACUCUUUUGUUGCAAAACUGAUAGGAUUGAAACAAUGGACAACUAAAAUUCAAAAACUUAUAACUCCUGCUAUACUCAACUUAAACUACAACGAACACGCGUUGGAAAAGUUUUGAAAAUUGUCCACGACUUUUGCAAUAAAGUUGCACCCAAAUUUAUCCUUAUAGCCCUCAACUCUGCAUGACCUACAGCUAAACUCAGCCUGAGAUACUGCACAUUAGAGAUUCGACUUAUAUCCGGGCAACCACCUCUCCAAAUCUAUUUAACAGACAGUUACAAGUAAAUACCCAUUAAAAGGGUACUGAAAAUACCUACAAGUUUUGCUUAAAGAGAAUUCGCAAAUUUGUGCUCCGCAACUAUCAAAACGCGGUCACUUUAUUGGUGAUUAUAACGACGCCUAAAGUUCAGACACAACAGUGCAACAACUUCAGAGCAACCUAACUCCAAUUAUAUGCAAUGAGAAUUAGAAACCCAUACUCUUUGAAAAGAUCAUGAAAUUACUAAAACUUUCAUAAUCCACAAAGACCAAAUUAUACUGUCUUCAAUGUCUACUCUUCCGUACAAAAUUAAAGACUCACUCUGCUAGAGACACCAACAAAGAUGUUUUAAGAAACCCAUAUCUCUCAAAUGUUUAGACCAAACAUGGUGAUUAAGCAUCCUGGAAAGAUGCAGAAACAUACUACAAAACAUUCUAGAUAAGUGAAGCCUGAUUCAGCCUCCAACUAAUUUAAAAUGCCUCCCAAAACCAAACAACACAUUAUCAACAAUAAUAAAAAAACAAUAUAAAAUGAAACCCAAGUCAUUGGCAGGUGCCAUCAACACUAGGAUUUUCCACUACCAAACUGGGAUGCAACUCCACAAAGUCUUUAAAUAACACUCUACCAAAUAGGUUAGAACACUAAGCACAACAAUCAAUGAAUUCAACAACCUCGUUUGUUAAUGCCACUAAGGUCAAACAUCCAUGUACCGACAAUGUAUGAAACACCUGACAUACCCGUCUCUAGCUCUAUAAAACAUGGUUGUUAUUACACUAGAAUCCAACUACUAGAAAUCUCCAAAACCAUUCUGUUGACGUGAAGCAAAUGGUGCUCAUGUCAUAUAACAUCUUUUCCCCCUCUCAAAAGAGAUAAAAUUUGCAAUACUCAUAAAGCAAUGGAGGGAUAACAACAAGAAAAAAAAACUAAUGUACUUCUUGACACAGACUCAUGCAAAAGCUUCAUAAAUAUUACUUUCAACACUAAAAUAAUAACACGAUACUAUGCUCAACAGGAGUAAUUGGACUUCAAUAAGAUAAUCCACCUAACCCAACUACUUUGAUUAACCUCACAUACAACAAUACCUCCUAUUAUUGCACUUGAACAAUUUGUACCUAGUGAUGUCAUAGGAUGACUUCAAAGUAGUAGACAUACAUGAUCUAUCAAACCAUCCUUCAUAUAAAAAAAAAUCUCCAUCUGAUGCAACAACCACAUCAUUAUAGAGAUAGAGGACUAACAAACAUAAGCAACUUCCAGUUAAACAUUGACUUUGUUUAAGAUAAAGCGGUCCAAAUAAUAAUUCAACAAGCAUGCAUAGAGAACUGAUCAUAUAAAAAAAACUACCAUAUAUCAUCGGCGAUUAAAAACAAUAUAAAACGGGUUGUCCAUAUCGUCCACAUGACUAGCCUCCAACAAAUAAAAAUUAUGCAUAACCUUUUUGGCUAUAGAAACAAACCAUAGAAGGAAAACAUGCAUGCCUCUUCAACUAUAAUAUAGACAUAAAAUCCACUUGAAAUCACCCUAUUUAUUAUUAAAGAUAAGGUUGCACACAAUAAGAAAACUUAUCAUGUAAACAUGGUUGAACUUAUCUAUCCACGUCAUCUUACAAAUUCACUUGAGUUCUACCAGCCUCAAGAUUUCAUAGACAGUCCAACAUUGCCUUUGCUCUAUGGAGACAAACCUAUUGUACUCUAAGAUCAAGUUGGCAAGUAGCCACACUAGCCAAAAAAAGGUGAGGUGUAAAGCACUGCACCCAUGGAAAUAUUACAUUGAUUAGUUGGGUUGUAACCCAACAGUCAAUCAAACUCAACAACACCAUAAAACUACAUUGUAUAGUGUUUUCACACUACACCAAGUCGGAAUAGAUCCUUUAUACACAAGCUCAAUAAACAAUCGGUCCUAUAAGUACUAGAACCCAAGAAUCCUUUUGGAAAAAAAACAUCCACAGUCAAGCAUACAGAAAUGUAUGAUAGUAAUAGCUCAGAGAUUAGUAAACAUUGCAUCCAAAAACAACAUUAUGACGAUAUGUAUAUAAAACAAGUACAUUAGUAGCUUAACUUGCAUAAUAAUUUCAAUAACAACCACAUCAAGAAACCAAUAUUAAAUAGUAGUAACAUUUCAUAUCAAGCAUUACGUCGUUAACGACAUACCUCAUCAAACCAUAAAGGGGUUUGGAGUCAGGAAAUUCUAGUCAUCUAUACAAUAAAAUACUAAUAUGAAAGAUAUAUGAACCCAUAUCCUUCCUAUAUGUGCAAGUGUGUCAAAUUUAUCUUCAAAUUGCGUAGAAUCUAAAGCCUAUCCUUUGAUACCAACUGUAACACCCCGGGUUCCACAAACAACCCAGAAUGCUACUGAACUACACUUCUGACGUCCAUAUAUAAAAUUUCGACAGCAUCCCCUUUGCAAGAUUGCAUAAAUAAGGGGGGGCAACAGGGUAUAAACAUAUAUCAUGACAAAAACAUACUAAGUAUUAUUAAUUGGCUAGCAAGGAAAGAUAAACGUACGACCGAAACUGAAUUAACCAGUGCGCACGACUAUAUAAAAAACAAACUUCCUUUGACAAUAAGUUUCUAAUUAAAACAUGGCUGCGCCUAGGCAGCGUUAUUGUGAGAGUGUAAGUGGACGUGCUGCUACUCCCCUCAUUCCCAACAUGUAUCAAGUACCUGCAUUGAGUAAUGCAAGAGUGAGAUGACACAUCUCAGCAAGUAAAAUAAUAUCAAACUAUUCAACCACAUAAGAACAUUGUUUUACCACCACCUGAUUCCACAACCUUCUUAUUACCAAGGUGCAUCACGUAUACAACGUACAACACACCUAGUUACCACACCUCGCAGGUAGAAAACCACAAUAGUAACAUAGUAAUGUCACACUUCAUAUAUUCCUCAUGAAUGCAAAUGUCUGCAAAUGCAAGGAUGACUUCUGCCUUCAUACCUCUAAGGAUAUGAAGCUGCAUCGUACCCCUCCUCGGGCAACGUACGAUGCUAAAAAUGUACCGGUACGGUCGGACCAUAAGAUCACGACAUAACUUCAAAAUGCAAGAUGGAUGAUGCGAUGUGCAUGUCAUGCCUACAACACUUCAUAUAACGUGAUUCAAAAAGAUACUUCAACUUCAUCUAAGAUGGGAAUCAACCACAUAUAUCAUAACCAAAUUAUGAUCAUCCACAAUAUUAGACAAUUGAGAAUUAAUACUUCCAAACAAAUAAACUUCAUCAUAGAAUUCAAUGAUUAACAUAAUUAAAAACUUAAGCAUACUCAAUGACAGGGAAUAGGAUGCAAACCAAACGGUAGCAACCACCACUAUAUUUACUUGCCUUUACCGGAAGUUCAGGCAAAUCCCUAAGUACGAUCCGGAAGUCCACCACCUGUUUUUGACAUACAACUUAGUGCACCUAUUUCACAUAAUCAGGCUCAUAGACGACGCCGCACCUACGCACAAACUUAAACCCCGCCGCGGGUUACAUCUCUCCCCACACCCACCAAACUGCAGCGGCGCUGCUUAAUAAUUUCAUAACCUUAAAAUUAUGACAACAGUGGUAACAAACAAAAACUCCAGAGGCAUCUACAUAAAAUUCCCCACAAGUUUUGUAUACAAUUUAUAAUUAAAUUCUAACAUCUAAUUAGCCCAAAACAGUCCACAAGAUGAACCCUGUAAUCUGUUUUUUUGUCUUUUGGACAGCGACAUACCCGGAUUCAAACAGCGAUAUCUUUUAAAAUAUAAUUCCAAAUCAAGCGCAUAAGUACUCAUUAGAAAGAUAAGACAAAGCCCUACAUGAUUAUCAUACUGGUUAACAGUAAUUACCCACGAAAAAUUCACAGAAACUGCUAAUACUACUGUUGUUCAUCCACCUGAAAAUCUGUUUUUUGGACAGCAACAUAACCGGAUUCAAACAACGAUAUCUCCUAAAUUAUAACUCCGAAUCGAGCGCAUAAGUACUCGUUGGAAAGGUAUGACAAAGCUCUACAUGAUUCUCAUAUUGAUUAUCACUAAUUUCCCACGAAAAAUCCCCAGAAACUGCUAAUACUACUGCUGUUCAUCCACCUGAAAAUCUGUUUUUUUGGACAGCAACAUAACCGGAUUCAAACAACGAUAUCUCCUAAAUUAUAACUCCAAAUCGAGCGCAUAAGUACUCGUUGGAAAGGUAUGACAAAGCUCUACAUGAUUCUCCCACUGAUCCCCACUAAUUGCCCACGAAAAAUUCCCAGAAACUGCUAAUACUACUGCUGUUCAUCCACCUGAAAAUCUGUUUUUUUUGGACAGCAACAUAACCGGAUUCAAACAACGAUAUCUCCUAAAUUAUAACUCCAAAUCGAGCGCAUAAGUACUCGUUGGAAAGGUAUGACAAAGCUCUACAUGAUUCUCCCACUGAUCCCCACUAAUUGCCCACGAAAAAUUCCCAGAAACCCCUAGAACUACUGCUGUUCAUCCUCCCACAAAAAAUCUGGACAGCACCUAUACCGAUUCGCAUAGGUAAACAUGUAAACAAUUGGAUUGCAGCACAAAUACUAAAAAGAAUGAUCUUAAAAUCACCUUGGGUUCCUCCUUUCCUCCUUCCAUUCUUCCUUCUUCCUCCCUCCAAACUCCAAUGGAAGACUCACACCCACACGACGGGGUACCAAGCGGGGAGGAUGCACCAUGGAGAGGAGGGGGCGGCUAGGGUUGAGG